rnacentral:rRNA from 1 species
GAUGAACGCUGGCGGCGUGCCUAAUACAUGCAAAUCGAGCGAACGGACGAGAAGCUUGCUUCUCUGAUGUUAGCGGCGGACGGGUGAGUAACACGUGGAUAACCUACCUAUAAGACUGGGAUAACUUCGGGAAACCGGAGCUAAUACCGGAGAAUAUUUUGAACCGCAUGGUUCAAAAGUGAAAGACGGUCUUGCUGUCACUUAUAGAUGGAUCCGCGCUGCAUUAGCUAGUUGGUAAGGUAACGGCUUACCAAGGCAACGAUGCAUAGCCGACCUGAGAGGCUGAUCGGCCACACUGGAACUGAGACACGGUCCAGACUCCUACGGGAGGCAGCAGUAGGGAAUCUUCCGCAAUGGGCGAAAGCCUGACGGAGCAACGCCGCGUGAGUGAUGAAGGUCUUCGGAUCGUAAAGCUCUGUUAUUGGGGAAGAACAUAUGUGUAAGUAACUGUGCACAUCUUGACGGUACCUAAUCAGAAAGCCCCGGCUAACUACGUG